GUAAGCCAUGUGAAAUGAAGUGCAGCUCACUCGGAGGAUACAAAGUGUGCAGUGUUCAGGACUAAUCUAAACAUCCAGGGGAGUUAGUAAACACAUCCUAACGCAGCCUUUGCCUUGCUCAUCUCAGGAGCUUGACUCGGCUGAAGAGCUAAAGCAGGUGCUUGUCUGCAGUUGCACUCCUUGCUGUCUUGGUGUUCCGGUCGGUGUUCACUGCUUGUUUGCAGCAACCCUGCAGUGCCUUACAUCAGUGUUGGCUGAUGGGCUAGGGACUUCAGCUAACAGGCCAUUCUGGAAAGCAGCAUCUUCACCUGGAAAAGAGCACAUGCUGGCUGAGGAAGCCCUCCAUCUGCUGCUGGCUCCUGCUCCUGCUGCCUGAGGGGACGGCUGCCGGCUGCUGCCUUGUGUUUGUACAAGGGAAGGCUUGCAGGCUGCUUUGAGGCUCGGAGAGCCACUCGAACCAGACUGUGCAUGGAAGAAUGGAUGCCCAACGGUUGGAUUUGCCAACUCCAGAAGGAAGUGCCAGUUUCCAGGGAGGAAAUAAUUAUCUGAACACAUCCUCCUCAGAUCUGCCUCCCACUCCAGCAGCAGAGAGCGUCUGAAAGGAGCUGCCGGAGCAGCUGUUGUUCCAAGUGCAGCAUUCUCCAGUGGGUUUUCCUCCUGGAGCGAUCCUGAGCCCACGCUCAGAGUUAGGGCUGGAGGAAAGGUGCAUGAAUUGCCUGACUUGCACGGUGCUCUCUGCUGGCUCAGUGGAAGUGAUUCACUUGCUCGUGAGUGCGAAAUGUUCGUCGUCCCUCCUACCCACAGCAUGAUGUGGCUUCUACCCUUCCCCCUCUGUGCUCUUAUCUUCUGCUGCUUGGAGAGGCGGAGUGCUCAGCGGCUGUGAGGUUUGUGUGUCUGGAGGGGGUGGCAACUCGCCAGCCCACGGCAUGCUUCUUGUGCUGUGAAAUUGGAGCGGGUGAAUGCCAGCUACUUCAGUGGAAAAUGGGAGCAGUUCCUCUGCUGCCAGUGAGGGCUGCUGCCUGAAGGUACCACUGGGCUCCAAAGAGUGGAAGACUUUGCUUCUGGCUAUGUAUAACACACCUAUUCCUUUGACACACGUGAAUUGGUGUAUAUUACUGGGAAUUCCAGGAUGCUUAGCUGGGAAUGAACUCCUCUCCGUUUCACAACGUGACUCUGUGGUGUUUGUACUAGUUUAGAUUUGUUAAUUUUGUUUUGUCUGUUUGUUAUUUUCCACUGCUUCAGACUGGGGAAUAGCAGCUGGCCGAGGCUUUGUACUGUCCAUGCCUUACCCUGGUUUUUAAAUUGUCUAACUCUGAAUGAGCUGGGACUUAAGGGGCAUCGUAUGAAACCUCCAGGUGGCAGAUCUGAACCUAAGCAGGCCUCCUUCCACGUGCACUGCAGAGCAGUCGGAUGAAUCCGAGGAAGAAAUGUCCAUUGAGGACUAUUAAACACAAAAGCUUUCAUUACCGGGCCGCAGCCUGGGCACACGGCUAACGUGUUCCAUCCAGCAGGGCUUUGGGGACUGCUCCGAUCAGCUCAUCUGACUCCAUCAGCUGUCCAUCAGACGGCUGGGAAGUGCUCCCAGGGCUAACCUACACACGGUGUCAGCAACCCACCGCCUCUGCUCCCGUUGCUGCCUGCAUAAAGGUCACAGAUAACGAUUAAAAAUAAAUAAAUAAGCCAGGAGAACCCCCCAGCCUACCUCUGGGGUCACUCAGGUUUGAAAUAAAUCUCUCAUCUUUCUAUUUCUGAAGCCACAGAUGACUUAAGCCAAAUUGCAUUUGGAGCCGUUAUCCUCACACUCCUGUUUUAUUUAUGCUGCCGUGUCCUGUGCUAACGCUUUGUGAAAUAUUUAUUUGCUUCUGCUCUCCCACAGCUCAGCUGUGGAUUCAUGAGGCUCCUGUGCUAUGUCUCAAUUCUACGCAGCUGCGUUCUGUCAAGAAAGGAGAAAAUGAAGACUCCAAUCUGUGUUUUACAUUGUAGCAAUGCACCAUGUAUGACUGUAGCUGAUGUCUUUCAACAGGUGGAUGUUUUUCAGGUGCCUGGCUUGAGUAAGAGCUGUGGAAUGCAUGUAUGGUGGCAGAACCUUAAUGUGUGAUGAGCAGCUCUUCUGUAUGUGCUUCCCCAAGCUGCCCUUGUGCUUGCUGGCCCUACUGGUUCCAGGUAACUCGCACAAAAGAGUUUGGGAGGAGACAGACGUCCUAAAGGACACCAGUGUGUGGCUUAUUGGUUCAGGGGGUGAGCUGAUUACAAAUUUCAGAUUCUGUCCGUAAGAUAAAUAAAUGAAGUGUCGUAAACACCUUUGUCUUCUGCUCGGGGCUGAAGCGAGCAGCCAAGUCAAACCGGUGUGCAUCCGAAAUGGCUUCUCCAGGCACUGUGCCAGCUUCCUGUCCCUCAGUCCAGGGAGGAAAUGAGCAGCAGCUGUCCUCCCUGCUGCAGCUUUGCUGCUUGCAAGCCAGGGAGGAGGAAAUCUGUGUACUGGGCUCCCCUUCCCUCCCUUUAUCACAAACACCAGAGUCUUGGUUUGAGUUCCUGCAGGAGCAAGGAUAUGGGCUGGCUGAAGAUACUUUGGUGCAGCUCUGACAUUUGGGCAAGCCAGCAGGAUUCUGCUAGAGAGGAUUUGUUCUCUUGCUUCCAGCUGAAAGCCGGACUAGAAGUGUCUGGUUGCCAUCUGAGUUAACUGUUGUUUAGUGUGUAAUGAGUGGAUGGUUCUCAGUCCAGUGGUGGAUGGACAAGUUUAGUCUGAGAGCUGCAGGCAGGGCUGGUCCCCAAGGAGUUGGCUGACACUGACUGUAAGCUGCCUGCAUCUUUAGAGGCAGUGUGUAAAUUGGAGGAAUAAUAAACGUGAGUGCCUGGAGGUGGCACAUGAGUAUACGAUGGAGGAGAUUUUACUUUUACACACUUAAGCUUGGUGAUCUGAUGCCAUCUCUAAAAAACCUUUCCGAGUCUAAAUUCAGUUUUAGGUCAGUAUAUUUAUAUAUAUACACACGUAUUUGGGAAAGGACCUGCUAAGCUGCUGUUGCCACUUCUUGCUGAAUUAUACCAACAAGCUCCUUCUGGUGUUAGCUUUAAGUGACAUUUACUGUGUAAAUGACACUGACAUUCAAGAUGAGUUGUUGGCUUUUGCAGCAGCUUGCUAAUUCCUUGUAGGAUCUCCCAGGAGAAGAGCCUGCAGCAAAGAGCUGCUGCAACAGGUGCUGCUUUGGCCUCCUGUGCUCUGUAGGGAGGAGGGUGAGCGGGCAAAGCCUUGUUGUCACGUCAGCACUUUUUGCUUCCUUUCAUGUCUGUAGGAAACCUGGGGACACACUGAUUUACCUGUUGGGUUUCCAUGAUCGACAACAGUGAAUGCUGUUUGCAUGUGUAGUGAAGGAACCAGCAUGUGCUCGCCUUGUUUAGUGAAUGCCUUCCACUGGAGAUGGAGUGAAGGUCAGGUGGUGGCGGAUCGGUCAGUUGAGAGGUGGGGUAAUGGAAUGAUACUACCACAGAUUGCUGUGUGCUGACUGAUGCUUUAAAAGAUCAGAGAUUUACAUUGGAGGAUACGUAGCUUUGCCAGAAGAAAUUGGGAUGUUUAAAAUUUAUUUUAUCUUUUAGCCAGAGGAGAAGCUUUAAUAGCUGUGAGAAGUGGUUUUGUUUUUCGUUUUGGCCUUUGGUUUGAAGGACAGGCUGGAGUCAGCUGCCUGAUUCACACUGACUUUGGGGGAGAUCCGCCUGCUGAGCUGCUCCUCAUGUAUUUCAGAAAUCUCUUCUUAGUCUGCAAAUCUGUCCAUAACCCCUUUUUAAUUAGCCUGUCUUUCUGGAAGAAGGGACCAAGAAAUCAUGUUCAAAGAUUAUUGCUCUAUCGAGCAGCUGCUAGAAUAGACCAGUUAAUGCUGCAGAACAAUGUUCCAGGCCCCAGCAGCAUGUCUGG
rnacentral:lncRNA from 1 species